UUUCGGAUCGUAAAGCUCUGUUGUUAGGGAAGAACAAGUGCGAGAGUAACUGCUCGCACCAUGACGGUACCUAACCAGAAAGCCACGGCUAACUACGUGCCAGCAGCCGCGGUAAUACGUAGGUGGCAAGCGUUGUCCGGAAUUAUUGGGCGUAAAGGGCUCGCAGGCGGUUUCUUAAGUCUGAUGUGAAAGCCCCCGGCUCAACCGGGGAGGGUCAUUGGAAACUGGGAAACUUGAGUGCAGAAGAGGAGAGUGGAAUUCCACGUGUAGCGGUGAAAUGCGUAGAGAUGUGGAGGAACACCAGUGGCGAAGGCGACUCUCUGGUCUGUAACUGACGCUGAGGAGCGAAAGCGUGGGGAGCGAACAGGAUUAGAUACCCUGGUAGUCCACGCCGUAAACGAUGAGUGCUAAGUGUUAGGGGGUUUCCGCCCCUUAGUGCUGCAGCUAACGCAUUAAGCACUCCGCCUGGGGAGUACGGUCGCAAGACUGAAACUCAAAGGAAUUGACGGGGGCCCGCACAAGCGGUGGAGCAUGUGGUUUAAUUCGAAGCAACGCGAAGAACCUUACCAGGUCUUGACAUCCUCUGAC
rnacentral:rRNA from 1 species